rnacentral:rRNA from 1 species
GACGAACGCUGGCGGCGUGCUUAACACAUGCAAGUCGAGGGGGCCAGCAAUGGUCACCGGCGAACGGGUGCGUAACACGUGAGCAACCUGCCGCAGAGUGGGGGAUAGCCGGCCCAACGGCCGGGUAAUACCGCAUACGAUCUUGCCGGGACAUCCCGGGAAGAUGAAAGAUUUAUCGCUCUGCGAGGGGCUCGCGGCCUAUCAGCUAGUUGGCGAGGUAACGGCUCACCAAGGCGACGACGGGUAGCUGGUCUGAGAGGAUGGCCAGCCACAUUGGGACUGCGACACGGCCCAGACUCCUACGGGAGGCAGCAGUGGGGAAUCUUGCGCAAUGGGCGAAAGCCUGACGCAGCGACGCCGCGUGGGGGAGGAAGGUUUUCGGAUCGUAAACCCCUGUUGCCCGGGACGAAUCCCUGGUUUUGACCAGGUUGACGGUACCGGGUGAGGAAGCACCGGCUAACUCCGUGCCAGCAGCCGCGGUAAUACGGAGGGUGCGAGCGUUGUCCGGAAUCACUGGGCGUAAAGGGCG